rnacentral:rRNA from 1 species
GACGAACGCUGGCGGCGUGCUUAACACAUGCAAGUCGAACGGUGAAAGCGGAGCUUGCUCCGCUGGAUCAGUGGCGAACGGGUGAGUAACACGUGGGCAACCUGCCCCUCACUCCGGGAUAACUCCGGGAAACCGGGGCUAAUACCGGAUAUGACCUCCUUGGGCAUCCUUGGAGGUGGAAAGUUUUUCGGUGAGGGAAGGGCCCGCGGCCUAUCAGCUUGUUGGUGAGGUAGUGGCUCACCAAGGCGACGACGGGUAGCCGGCCUGAGAGGGCGACCGGCCACACUGGGACUGAGACACGGCCCAGACUCCUACGGGAGGCAGCAGUGGGGAAUAUUGCGCAAUGGGCGAAAGCCUGACGCAGCAACGCCGCGUGCGGGAUGACGGCCUUCGGGUUGUAAACCGCUUUCAGCAGGGAAGAAGCCGCAAGGUGACGGUACCUGCAGAAGAAGCACCGGCUAACUACGUGCCAGCAGCCGCCGUAA